AUUAUGUGUUGCCAGGAAAGUGUUAAAGAUGGGUGCAUGGCCAAUAUGUUGGAAUUUCAGAACUAUUUGUUUAGCAUUGUAGAGAUUCUUAAUCUGCAAUGGCACUGAUUCAUGUUAUGUUACUGUCUGAUUAUGACAUGAAUUUUCUGUGAACAAAUAUACCCUUGAAUGGGCUUCUUCUCUUGAUAUCUUCGCUUGGAGCUGGGGCUUAUGGGUCCUUAUAAAUUAUAAUAAAAUAAACAUCUAGUAGAAUCUGUGGUAGGAUAAGGAUCAGUCGGAGAUGAAGUUGGUGGAGGAUCAGCCAUGAGUAGGUCGUAACAUUCAUUUUUCCA
rnacentral:misc_RNA from 1 species